rnacentral:siRNA from 1 species
UGGAAUUUCAAGCGACAGCUGC